rnacentral:rRNA from 1 species
GUGCACCAGGCGCGAAUACUUUACAAUGUGCGAAAGCACGAUAAGGGAACUCUGAGUGCCUCCUAAGGAGGCUGUUCAGGUGUCUAAAAGCACCUGAAGGAAGGGCUGGGUAAGACCGGUGCCAGCCGCCGCGGUAACACCGGCAGCCCAAGUGGUAGCCACGUUUAUUGGGUCUAAAGCGUCCGUAGCCGGCUGGGUAAGUUCCUUGGGAAAUUUGGCUGCUUAACAGUCAAGCUUUCAGGGAAUACUGCCCGGCUUGGGACCGGGAGAGGUCAGAGGUACUCCAGGGGUAGGGGUGAAAUCCAUUAAUCCUUGGGGGACCACCGGUAGCGAAGGCGUCUGACCAGACCGGGUCCGACGGUGAGGGACGAAGGCUA